rfam:Salmo salar isolate Sally breed double haploid chromosome ssa14, whole genome shotgun sequence.
UGCACGCAUUUCUGUAAGUCGUUUUGGAUAAAAGAGUCUGCUAAAUGGCAUAUA